GGCGGGGAGGAGGCAGGCGAUGAGAAGGGAGGGAUCCAGAACCUCGUCAAGUUCAGACGAAAGCUCCGGGAUAUCAGCGAAGGGGGCGCUGGGGGAUCCAGGCGCGAGCGACCUCCCCCGCGCCAGCG
rnacentral:SRP_RNA from 12 species